rnacentral:rRNA from 1 species
UUCUGGCUCAGGAUGAACGCUGGCGGCGUGCUUAACACAUGCAAGUCGAACGAAGCUAAGGGAGCUUGCUCCCAAAGCUUAGUGGCGGACGGGUGAGUAACGCGUGGGUAACCUGCCCUAUAGAGGGGGAUAACGUUCGGAAACGAACGCUAAUACCGCAUAAACCAUAAGGAGCUGCAUGGCUCUGAUGGCAAAGAUUUAUCGCUAUAGGAUGGACCUGCGUUGGAUUAGCUAGUUGGUGAGAUAACAGCUCACCAAGGCGACGAUCCAUAGCCGGCCUGAGAGGGUGAACGGCCACAUUGGGACUGAGACACGGCCCAAACUCCUACGGGAGGCAGCAGUGGGGAAUAUUGCACAAUGGGCGCAAGCCUGAUGCAGCGACGCCGCGUGAAGGAAGAAGGUCUUCGGAUUGUAAACUUCUAUCAGCAGGGAAGAAUAAAUGACGGUACCUGACUAAGAAGCCCCGGCUAACUACGUGCCAGCCGCGGC